GCCUUUGUGGUGCAGUGGUCAGCACGCUCAACACAUAUUCUAGAGGUCCGUGGUUCGAGUCCCGGCAAGGUCA
rnacentral:tRNA from 1 species